CCCGUACCACCUACAGCAUGGAUCAAUUAUCAGAAGAAUGCCCUGGCCGCUAAGCUCAUGCUGGAUAUGAUUCUGGUGCUGUAUCCAAACUUAGUACAAAGGAUAUUGCCUGUCCGAUUAUCUUAAAAUCAUGCAUAUUAUACGUGUACUACUGAUUUGUAAUAUCCUUCUUACGGGUUUUUUUCUGUGCUGUAUUUGUGAUUACAGGGUAACUUUAGUCAGGAAGAUAUCGUUGAGUCAGCAAGGCGAUUAUUAGACUUAGUAACCUUUUCUGAGAGACACCGGGGAGCCGAUGACACCAAUCAAGAUAUGAGAGAACAGAGGCGGGGGUGUGAAGAUGGGAGUUCAGCCCUUCAGCCAGAAAGACCCUCAGUUCAAAUGGAAAUGACCAGGUCCUUCCCAGGUAUGUUUACCAAGGCCAGAGGAAAGAGGCGCUUUCCUGCAGCAAAUCUUGUUCCUGCCAAGAGAGCAAAACCACUAGAAGUGGCUUUCUAUUUGACGUUUAACUAUUUAAUGAUUAUAAAAAUGUGUACACUUUGUCCUGACAACUGUGCUUACCUUGCGGUAAAAACCGUCAAUCCCACCAAAGAUAACAAUGUUGUAGCUGCAAGAAAAAUGCUGAAUUUGUCAACUGUAUAGAACGUAAUAACUAUAAGUAAGAAAUAGUGUUAACGCUCAGAACAGAAUAACUUUGCUUAAGGACUAACAUACUCUUAAUUCAUUUGCAUUUUGUCAAAAACAUUAUUUGAAAAGAAUUACUGUAUUAAUUUAUGGUUUGUAUCAAUAUGAAUUAAAGACUGGGGUCCUGGAACUGA